rnacentral:rRNA from 3 species
CGACGAGGUAGAUAGGCUGGGGGUGGAAGUGCAGCAAUGCAUGGAGCUGACCAGUACUAAUCGGUCGAGGGCUUAUCCAA